rnacentral:rRNA from 1 species
GAUGAACGCUGGCGGCGUGCCUAAUACAUGCAAGUCGAGCGAACAGACGAGGAGCUUGCUCCUCUGACGUUAGCGGCGGACGGGUGAGUAACACGUGGAUAACCUACCUAUAAGACUGGGAUAACUUCGGGAAACCGGAGCUAAUACCGGAUAAUAUAUUGAACCGCAUGGUUCAAUAGUGAAAGACGGUUUUGCUGUCUCUUAUAGAUGGAUCCGCGCCGCAUUAGCUAGUUGGUAAGGUAACGGCUUACCAAGGCAACGAUGCGUAGCCGACCUGAGAGGGUGAUCGGCCACACUGGAACUGAGACACGGUCCAGACUCUUACGGGAGGCAGCAGUAGGGAAUCUUCCGCAAUGGGCGAAAGCUUGACGGAGCAACGCCGCGUGAGUGAUGAAGGUCUUCGGAUCGUAAAACUCUGUUAUUAGGGAAGAACAAAUGUGUAAGUAACUAUGCACGUCUUGACGGUACCUAAUCAGAAAGCCACGGCUAACUACGUG